UAAGUCUUCUCCAGGUGGAGGUGGUACUCUCUGUCUCUGACUGGUCUGUGAUACCAUGGAAACUCCUGGAGGAGGUGGAACACUGGUUGUCAAGGCUACAAGAGGAAAGGUUAAGAGGUCACUGCGCUGCCGAAUCACUGGAUUGGUCUUGAACUGAAUCACUCUGGGGCUUAAAUGAAUCAUCAGUGCAGUUAAAAGCUAUUAUAAAUCUGCUUUAAAUAUGGAGUGGAGGAACAGACGGUUACCUCUGAGUGGAGGAAUGGGUGGCAGCAGGUUGGGUGCAGCUCCUGGUUCCGGAGCCCGGGUGCCUGGGGG